AGGAAACAGAAAGGGUGAAAGAUGACUUGAAGCACUUCACCCCCUGCCUGUGUCUUUUGUCUAUGCUCUGUGGCAGCUGGAGUGAUUACACCUUCACUCGGUUUACAGUCACGACAAGAUUCACUUGCCACAUACUUACAGUUGUUUGCUGUAACAGGUCAUCCCCGCAAGACUUUUUCCACUCAGACUUUGAUGUGGGAUCCGUGCGUCGGCCACCGAGGCGCCUGUGAUGGAACACUGUGCCAAAUCGGACCUUAUCUCUUCUCAUCCUGUCAUCCAUUCAGCUAAACGUAAUCACAGAAGCCUCCA
ensembl:lncRNA